rnacentral:lncRNA from 10 species
GUUUACUAUAAAUUUUACUAAUCUAAAAGAUGUGGAAUACACAAUUUACAAAUAAUAAUAAAAUACACAAUACACUUUCCUACAAAUUCCAUAUAGUCAAUUCAUUCUCAGAGAAUGCUUUUGUUGAUGUUUACCAAGCUCUCGCAUCUGCAGCCAACCUAUGGUUGCAAUUGAUCAACAAGUAUAGUUCACACAUAUCGACAUUUUGUUUACAUUCAUGAGCAAUGCAAAUAUGAAACAACUUCUUUGUAUGCCAAUACUUCACUUGGAUAAGUUGAAUAAUAGUUUUCAAAUAAUGGAAGACUAUUCAAGUGUUCAAGUGUUUGUGAAAAUCACAGUGUAAUGGCUACAGAAACAACUUAUGUACUGUGUUAUUAACGUUUUUCCCAUCACUUUCUUAAGUCUAAAUAAUCAACGACAAAAAAAAGGGCGAAAUAAUUAGAAAGUAAUGAAUUUAGAAUGUUACCUUUGUUUUUAAUAUAACUUAAUUUGAAAGAUAUUAUUUUAAUGAUUAACUUGAAAUUUUAACAAUUGGUUCACAAGCCAACAUGCCAUGUGCCUGUGCAAUCAAUUCCAUGCCAUAUAUACACUUUUUUUCAGAUAAGGAAAAGGUAAAAAUACAGAAUACUACAUGGAUUAUCAAGGUUAAAUCUAUUCUUUCUUAACAUGACAGGAAAGUAAAGCUUUGACCCGCAGGGGAGACUGGAGAGGGGAAGUUGGCCUGUCUGUUCCCAUUUCAGGAGCAGGCUAAGAGUGUGUUUCUGGAAACAAAACUGUCAGAGUGAAGGCUCACAAGAAAUCAGAAACAGGACCCAGAUCUCUACCCAAGGGCUUAUAACAAAGGCUCAAAGCAGGCUUUUUUCCAAAAAUGUUUUUAAUUCCAACAUCCAUCUUAAUGGCCUACUGUAGCCUAAUUUAGCCAAUAGCUGUUAUUCUAAAAAUGGAAGCUAAUGAUUCCAGCUAAAAACAACGAAGCCGGUACUAUCACAGUAUGUUGUAAGAAACUGAUUAUCAUGGGGUGCAUUUUUCACUUCCUUUUCUCUGAAGAAAGGCUUAGUAAGAGUCCCACAUCAAAAGCAAAAGCAUUUCUUUCUCUCACGGGACCCCAGAAUAGGAGGAAUGUGUUCUCUAGAGGCAACCACCUCCCAGAACUACUCUUUGGCAAGAUGCAUCAGACGCACGGAGCGAUGGUCUGGCUGAAGGGCACCACCUGCUAUUGCUCAUCAUAUUCGUGCCAUUCAACAAAUAUUAGCAGCAUCAAUUUACUUCUCUGAAGCACCUGCAGGUACCCACCACUUGGCUGAGUGCUAUAUAGCUCUACACACUUUAUAUUUUGCAAAAUACGUGCAUAUGGAAAAGAAGCACAACAUUUAAGGCAAAGAUCAGAUAAUAGCCGUAUUGCACAAGUGUCUAGCUGGAGAAAAUUGACAAAAAAAAUAGAAAGUUUGUAAAAUGAUCAAAAUUUUAGAUAUGCAGGAUAAAUAUGUUCUGGGGAUCUAACAUACAGCAUGGCGAAUGUAGUUAAUAAUACUUCAAGUACUGUAGACAGUUGUCCUUCUAUAUUGGCAGGGAAUUGGUUCCAGGAUCCCCCACAGAUACUAAAAGUUAUCCACACUCAGGUCUCCAUUUUGCUAUUAAAAAUUGAGAAGCUGAAUAAUCUUAAUUUAGGGCAUUAGUUUCCGGGUGAGCUCAGAAUUUUCUUAUUCCAGCUUGUGACAUCUCAAUGAAUUUCCCAUUUCCACCUAACGUUAGGAGCCCUGUUCCUGGGCCACCUUCAGGAUUCUGGCAGAAGGGGUUUCAGGUGAGGUGAGAAGGUUAAGAGGUGAAUUGGAGGUUCUUGGCUGAUGCACCUGUGCCUUCACGUGCCCCCAGUCAUCUACACUCUGAGCAGGGGGCAGGUCUUGCUGCUCACUCCACUUGGGGUAUGGCUGCAGCCUAAUCUCUCACCCUUUGUGGGUAAUAAUAAUAUACUUUGGAUAAGCACAAUGGCAUCACAUUGAGCAAAGGAUCUCUUUUACAUGCCUUAAGUUAUGGUUUCUUGAAUUAAAUAUGGAAUUUACUAGAAAGAUUAGCCCACCUCUUGCAUCAGCGUGACCUGGAGGUGAGACAUGGAGUCAAAGGAGAUUAUUCCGGAACUUUAAGAUUUAUUGAGUAGGCCGGGGAUGGUGGCUCACGCCUGUAAUCCCAACACUUUCAGAGGCUGAGGCGGGUGGAUCACGAGGUCAGGAAUUAGAGACCAGCCUGACCAACAUGGUCAGGCCCCAUCUCUACUAAAAAUACAAAAAUUAGCCGGGCAUGGUGGCACACGCCUGAGUAGCCCAGCUACUCCGGAGGCUGAGGCAGGAUGAUCCUUUGAACCCAAGAGGCGGAGGUUGCAGUGAGCCGAGAUCG